AUGGAGCUUUUGGUGCUCAGCACCUUGAAAUGGAGGAUGCAAGUUGUUACUGCUUGCUCGUUUAUUGGCUACUUCCUUUGCAAAUUCAAUGAUCAUGACACACCCUCCAUGCUCGCAUUCUCCCACUCGAACCUCAACCCGAGCACAGCUAAGUGUAUGAAAGUUAAAUCAGAUCCCCCUUUUCAAAUUUCGAUUGCAGGAGCUGAUUUUUUGGUGUUCAGACCUUCCGAGAUUGCUGGAAGUGUUGCACCUGCUUCAUUUGGGGAGCGCAGUACUUCAGUGGUCGAAAGGGGUACAACUAAUUGCAAGUAUAUAAACAAGGAGCGAGUGUUAAGAUGCUACGAUGGAGCCAUGGAGAAUUUAGAUAAGCCUGUGCUAAAUGCGACCCUUGCUCCCCUGUCCGCCCCCUCGCAGCCACCGAAGUCAAGGGGCCGCCCCUGCUCGUCUCCCACUCCUGUCUCUUCUGCCAUGAAGAGUGCGCGGCUGGGUGAGGUCUCCCGGCUGGAUGGAGCCUCCCCGAACGCGGUGGAGAAGGCGUCUCACCAUGCUGCCAUCCGGAACCUCGAUGCAGGUCCGCCCAUCCCCCUGGCCCCUCCCUUUCACGACUCUGAUGAUGUUUGUGAUGAUUCCUUCUUGGCGUUGGCUGGUGUCCCACUUGGCCACUUAGCCAAAAUAGCUGCCAAUUCUGCGAUAGUUUUUCGCGAUGAAAAAGGUCCGGUUUUAGAGCAGAUAGCGUCCCUCCAGGCCAAGGAGGUACUGGAGGUCCGCCUUGCGGCCAUGCGUGCGCGCGAGGCAGCAGCUGUCGAGGAGGUUCCCCCCGACCCCUCAUCCGCUCCGUCGGGCAUUGAGUGCAUCCAUCACCGUAGGGUCCAGAAAGUACCCUUUGGGAGAGUAGUCAUGCGUGCACUUUUUUCGAACCUGCGGGGUUUCGGCCAUGAUGGCCACUGCAGGCAAAUCAUUGAGUAUAUGCGUGAUGAAUCAGUGGAUGUGGUGGUGAUUCACGAAACGAUGCGAACCGACUUCUCCCUAGCCGAACUCGAACGACUUCAUAGUCAUCUCUUUGCCUGGCACUGGUUGCCAUCUAGUGGAGUAGGGUCACUCCGGUGGCAUCCUUCUUGGUGUGAAGGGAUGCCACCUUUGAGGUUGGGUCUAUGGAUCAUGGCUCCUACUUCUUAA
rnacentral:rRNA from 1 species